CAAGGUUUUGAUGUGUCACUGUCAGAUGCCAGUAGUGUUUUUGAUUCCAUAAAGUCGCUUAGUCAAAGUGAUGGAAGAUGGCGAUAUGAUUCUAGCAGUGCUAAAUCCAGCACUUAUGUUGCUGUUGCAGGGACAACACUUGAAACACUUGCAGGAGUGGUUUCCCUGGUAGAUCCAGGGGUGGAUCAAUCAAGGCCUUUCCUAUGACCAUAAAACAUGGCGAAAUAGUAAGAGACAUGGGGAGCUGCUAGGAGAUCAACAAUUUGAUGCUAUUUAGUUGAGGUAAGGUCUUUGGUGAAUGGAGAUGUUUUUAAGCUCUAUAUUUUGUUGCUAAAUGUUGCUACUGUUCCAAUUUUUUGGUGUGAGUAUGUUAGGAGUUGUUUUGAUAGGUUUUUGAUGUAUACAGCUAGGGAAUUUUAUGUUUUUUUUGGUGUGAUGUAAUGAGAGAUACUCUUCAUUUUAUUCUUUGGUUGGGGAUUUUGAUGAUUAUCUGUAAGUAGAUUGUAAUCACCCAUUUUUUCAAAAAUGUAUUGCUCGGUUGGGGUCUUCUUUCAAGACCGAUGCUAGAUAAUUGUCUAUGCUACUUGACAUGUAUUUUCUUGAAAACAUAUUGC